GAUGAACGCUGGCUACAGGCUUAACACAUGCAAGUCGAGGGGAAACGACGGGGAAGCUUGCUUCCCCGGGCGUCGACCGGCGCACGGGUGAGUAACGCGUAUCCAACCUGCCUCUGACUGAGGGAUAACCCGUCGAAAGUCGGCCUAAUACCUCAUGGCAUCGUCUGCGGGCAUCCAACGACGAUUAAAGAUUUCAUCGGUCAGGGAUGGGGAUGCGCCUGAUUAGCUUGUUGGCGGGGUAACGGCCCACCAAGGCUACGAUCAGUAGGGGUUCUGAGAGGAAGGUCCCCCACAUUGGAACUGAGACACGGUCCAAACUCCUACGGGAGGCAGCAGUGAGGAAUAUUGGUCAAUGGGCGGGAGCCUGAACCAGCCAAGUAGCGUGCAGGAUGACGGCCCUAUGGGUUGUAAACUGCUUUUAUGCGGGGAUAAAGUGAGGGACGUGUCCUUCAUUGCAGGUACCGCAUGAAUAAGGACCGGCUAAUUCCGU
rnacentral:rRNA from 1 species